rnacentral:rRNA from 1 species
AACAGGAUUAGAUACCCUGGUAGUCCAUGCCGUAAACGAUGUCUACUAGCCGUUGGGGCCUUUGAGGCUUUAGUGGCGCAGCUAACGCGAUAAGUAGACCGCCUGGGGAGUACGGUCGCAAGACUAAAACUCAAAUGAAUUGACGGGGGCCCGCAUAAGCGGUGGAGCAUGUGGUUUAAUUCGAUGCAACGCGAAGAACCUUACCUGGUCUUGACAUAGUAAGAACUUUCCAGAGAUGGAUUGGUGCCUUCGGGAACUUACAUACAGGUGCUGCAUGGCUGUCGUCAGCUCGUGUCGUGAGAUGUUGGGUUAAGUCCCGCAACGAGCGCAACCCUUUUCCGUAUUUGCCAGCGGGUUAAGCCGGGAACUUUAAGGAUACUGCCAGUGACAAACUGGAGGAAGGCGGGGACGACGUCAAGUCAUCAUGGCCCUUACGACCAGGGCUACACGCGUGCUACAAUGGUCGGUACAAAGGGUUGCUACCUAGCGAUAGGAUGCUAAUCUCAAAAAGCCGAUCGUAGUCCGGAUUGGAGUCUGCAACUCGACUCCGUGAAGUCGGAAUCGCUAGUAAUCGCGGAUCAGAAUGCCGCGGUGAAUACGUUCCCCGGCCUUGUACACACCGCCCGUCACACCAUGGGAAUUUGUUGCACCAGAAGUAGGUAGUCUAACCGCAAGGAGGACGCUUACCACGGUGUGGCCGAUGACUGGGGUGAAGUCGUAACAAGGUAACC